GGAGGGCAAGUCUGGUGCCAGCAGCCGCGGUAAUUCCAGCUCCAAUAGCGUAUAUUAAAGUUGUUGCAGUUAAAAAGCUCGUAGUUGAACCUUGGGCCUGGCUGGCCGGUCCGCCUCACCGCGUGCACUGGUUCGGCCGGGCCUUUCCCUCUGGGGAACCCUAUGGUCUUCACUGAUCGUAGCGGGGAACCAGGACUUUUACUGUGAAAAAAUUAGAGUGUUCAAAGCAGGCCUUUGCUCGAAUACAUUAGCAUGGAAUAAUAGAAUAGGACGUGUGGUUCUAUUUUGUUGGUUUCUAGGACCGCCGUAAUGAUUAAUAGGGAUAGUCGGGGGCGUCAGUAUUCAGCUGUCAGAGGUGAAAUUCUUGGAUUUGCUGAAGACUAACUACUGCGAAAGCAUUCGCCAAGGAUGUUUUCGUUAAUCAGGGAACGAAAGUUAGGGGAUCGAAGACGAUCAGAUACCGUCGUAGUCUUAACCAUAAACUAUGCCGACUAGGGAUCGGGCGGGAUUCUAUGAUGACCCGUUCGGCACCUUACGGGAAAC
rnacentral:rRNA from 1 species